CCCUUAGAUGUUCUGGGCUGCACGCGCGCUACACUGAUGCACUCAACGAGUUUACGACCUUGCCCGAUAGGGUUGGGUAAUCUUUUUAAAAUGCAUCGUGAUGGGGAUAGAUUAUUGCAAUUAUUAAUCUUCAACGAGGAAUUCCUAGUAAACGCAAGUCAUCAACUUGCAUUGAUUACGUCCCUGCCCUUUGUACACACCGCCCGUCGCACCUACCGAUUGAAUGGUCCGGUGAAGCCUCCGGAUUGGCGCGCACCUCGGUGCCGCCGAGAAGUUGGCUAAACCUUACCAUUUAGAGGAAGGUGAAGUCGUAACA
rnacentral:rRNA from 1 species